rnacentral:rRNA from 1 species
GAUGAACGCUGGCGGCGUGCCUAAUACAUGCAAGUCGAGCGAACGGACGAGAAGCUUGCUUCUCUGAUGUUAGCGGCGGACGGGUGAGUAACACGUGGAUAACCUACCUAUAAGACUGGGAUAACUUCGGGAAACCGGAGCUAAUACCGGAUAAUAUUUUGAACCGCAUGGUUCAAAAGUGAAAGACGGUCUUGCUGUCACUUAUAGAUGGAUCCGCGCUGCAUUAGCUAGUUGGUAAGGUAACGGCUUACCAAGGCAACGAUGCAUAGCCGACCUGAGAGGGUGAUCGGCCACACUGGAACUGAGACACGGUCCAGACUCCUACGGGAGGCAGCAGUAGGGAAUCUUCCGCAAUGGGCGAAAGCCUGACGGAGCAACGCCGCGUGAGUGAUGAAGGUCUUCGGAUCGUAAAACUCUGUUAUUAGGGAAGAACAUAUGUGUGAGUAACUGUGCACAUCUUGACGGUACCUAAUCAGAAAGCCACGGCUAACUACGUG